CCGAUUAAAGUGGUACGUGAGCUGGGUUUAGAACGUCGUGAGACAGUUCGGUCCCUAUCUGCCGUGGGUGUAAAGAAAACUGAGAGGAGCUGCCUCUAGUACGAGAGGACCGAGGUGGACGUACCUCUGGUGUACCUGUUGUCACGCCAGUGGCAUAGCAGGGUAGCUACGUACGGACGGGAUAACCGCUGAAAGCAUCUAAGUGGGAAGCCCACCUCAAAACUAGUUUUCUCCAUAGGGUCGUGGUAGACCACCACGUUGAUAGGCCAGGUGUGUAAGUAUGGUAACAUAUUCAGCUAACUGGUACUAAUAACCCAAUUGACUUUUUUUUGCUG
rnacentral:rRNA from 1 species